rnacentral:rRNA from 1 species
CCUACGGGGGGCUGCAGUAAGGAAUAUUGGUCAAUGGAGGAAACUCUGAACCAGCCAUCCCGCGUGAAGGAUGAAGGGGCUCUGCCUUGUAAACUUCUUUUGUCUGGGGCGAAAAAGCUCGAUUUAUCGAGAACUGACGGUACCAGAAGCAUAAGCCCCGGCUAACUCCGUGCCAGCAGCCGCGGUAAUACGGAGGGUGCAAGCGUUCUCCGGAAUCACUGGGUUGAAGGGGUGCGUGGGCGGCUGUGUAGAAAGGCUGGGGCUUAACCAUGGAAUUGCCAUUGAUACUGCAGAGCUUGAAUGAGGUUGAGGUUGGCGGAAUGUGACAUGUAGCGGUGAAAUGCUUAGAUAUGUCAUGGAACACCGAUUGCGAAGGCAGCUGACUGGACCUAUAUUGACGCUGAGGCACGAAAGCGUGGGGAGCGAACAGGAUUAGAUACCCUGGUAGUC